rnacentral:lncRNA from 1 species
AGGUAACCUCAAUCUAACCCUUCUCCUUAAUUUUAAUUAAAAUUGGAAAAAAAAUAUUUGUAGAAGCAAGCAAAGUCGUAAAACCCAGAGACAUGUGUAAUCUUCUCUCUUGGAUGUAAUAUCACUUAGGACUAUGUUAGAUAUGGCUAAAGUAAGAGAGGUAAAUAAUGCGUAUUUAUCCCGUAAAUAAGAUGAAGCAAAUGACUAACAGUUAUAAUUACGUUCUAAAGAGAAAUAUAGCACAUGCAAUCAUAAUUCAAAAAGACGUUAUACCAUCCCAUCGAUUGUACGAAUAUUCCUGAUGAUUAAGUGUUUCAUGAAAGAAGACGAAAAAUGCCUUUAAAAAUGACGAAAAAUAUGGUUUAUGAUAAUGGUUUUGCCGAUAAUUAAUGGAUUUUAUGUGGCUUGUAUGAAGUUGUAACUGUUGCCAAGUGUUGAGCAUGUGGCCAAGAUCAUCUUCUAGCUUGUUAGAUGGAUAUGACAUAUAUGAUCCUGUCUUAUUUCCCUAUAACCUAUAUCUGCAUGCUACUUUGUCAUGUGUGUAUAGUAGAUUUAUAUAAAUAAACCAAUCAAACAUAAGACAGUAGAUAUGCAUAUAUAUAUAUAUAUUGUGGACCACUCCUCUUCCAAGCAGCUUAUUCUCCGAUAUAUAGAGUUGUUGAAUUGCGAUCAAUUUCUUAUAUUGUAAAUAAUUUUUAACAACAACAUACAGUUUUUUUUUUCUAUUAGUGCGUGUCAUCUUACAUAGGGCCAAAAAAUAUUUACUAGUUACACCGAAAAAAUCUUUACCUAGGGGCUAGGGCCAAUGUUUUAGUUCCAAUUUUAUCAAACAGUAUCCGCGAGAGGAUGAAUUAUCAUUUUGACUGAUAAGAUUUAAUUUGUUUAUUAUAGUUAUAGUUGCGAAAGUCGGCCAUAAAUUAAUGCAACAGCUGAGUGUUUGACUAUAUAUGUCGUGUAAUGGAACGUGCUUAUAUUAAUUAUGUUUUAUUGGUUGUUCUAUUCCGGUCUGGCUUCCCAGACCACCUCAAGUUUGAGUAAUAGAAGAGCCGUUUGCUGUCAAAAAAAAAAAAAAUUUAGUAUAUAAGUCACUACUUCAUAGACUGAAAUGGAAAUCAUUAGGUUUAUUUUAAUUUUAACUCAAUUAAAAUUUAUAGGUAUAUAAACAGUGAGGAUUACAGAGGAGGGUUUGAGUCAAAAGACAUUGACACGAUCAUCACCAGCAUUAGCUCCAACUACGAGGCUUGGGCGGUUGCUUUCGCCUCCGUAGUGGUUGACUCAAGAGACUCUUUGUCCGUCCAAAGGUUCGAGAAAUGCCUUAAAAAGAUGAAGCCCGAGACGGCUCUUGCUUUAGCUAAGAUUGUAUUUGGCAGCGACGAGAGAGAGCUCUUGGACCAAGUGUCAGUGCCUUGCCACGUCAUACAACCAAGAAACGACGUCGUUGUACCUGUCUCCGUCGCUUACUUCAUGCAGGAGAUGAUCAAAGGGGAAUCGACGGUGGACAUUAUUGAGGACGCGAUGGGUCACUUUCCACAAAUGACGUCACAUAUUGAGCUGCUUGGCGUCAUGAAGCGCCUCCUCCAGCUUUGAAGGAUGAAUAUAAUAAAUGAUUUGCGUCGAUAUUCUUCUUGUCUAUAAUAUUGUGUUACUAAGAUUAUGAAGUAUGUCCCUUAGUAGUAGUAUCUCUUUAUGUUUGUGUAAUGUGAGUGUGUAUUUAUUAGUACAACAACGUAAUUUCCAGUAUAAGUUAAAAGAUAAAGAGAUUAUCAUAGUGAGAGUUAAAGGAGGUAACUAAUUAAAUGGCGCAUCACUUCUUUGGGUUAAGUUAAACUGAAUUGCUUUUUUUUUUUGGGUGUAAAUGUUAAAAACUGAAUUGCUUUCUAUUGGAGUAAUCAGUUUACUUUAAACUAGAAUCCUCCGACUACAUAGAUGUUCCUAUGUAAACGUUAACAAGUUGAUGAAUAACAUGCAUAAUCAUUUUCUUGAAUUUCAACGACAUUUCUUUGAUCUUGUUUAUUCUUGUAACCAUUCUUAUAAAUUGUUGUUACACAUAUACACAAGACAAUUGGUGUUCAAAAGAAAAAAAAAACAUACACAAGACAAUUAUUGCGGACGUUGUGGUUUAGCCAUUUUCGAUGUUUGAUUAGGUAAAUUCCUUAUGAGAUGUGUAUCUGCUUUUUCAAAAAAAUGAGAUGUGUAUCUGUUGGAGGCUAAUUACCGGUAGUUCUUAUCGAAUGAUUUUUAACGUUAAAACUCCUCAACUAAGUUUUGUUUUGGGUAAAAACCUUCAAACUAAGUAUUUAACGAAUAAAUCUCAAACUAAUUUUAUUUAAAAAAUUAAACUCUUUCCGGUCAUAAUUACCAUUACUAACGGUAAAUCUUUAGUUUAGGGGUUUCUACAUUAAGUAAACAUAAUUGAAGGGUUUUACCACUAAAAACAAAAAAAAUACAAAAUUUUAUAACAUUAUCUAAAAAUUAGUAACUUAAAUUUUUCAAGAUUAGCAUUUUUAAAAAUUUCUAUAAAUAUAUGAGUUUGAUUUGUUUUUAACAUCAACAUUAUAUAUGUAUAAAUUAAAAAUGUAAAAAACCAGAAAAUAUAAUAAAAAUUAUCUAAAGAUUUAUUAUUACAUUUUUAUUAGAUAAGAUAUAAUUUUUAUAAUAUUUUCUUGUUUUUACAUUUUUAACUUUUAGAUAAUUUUUAUUACAAAUAAAUCCUUAGAUAAUUUUUGUUAUAUUUUCUGGGUAUUUAUAAUUUUAAUUAAUCAUAUAUAAUGUUGAUUUUAAAACAAAUCAGACUCAUAUAUUUAUAGAAAUUUUUCAAAAUGUUAAUUUUGAAAAUUAUAGUUACUAAUUUUUAGAUAAUAUUAUUAUAUUUUGGAUUAUUUUAAAUUUUAAUGGUAAAACCCUUUAACUAUGUUUACUUAAUAUAGAAAUGGUAAUUAUAACCAGUGACGGUUUAAUUAAUUAAAUAAAAUUAGUUUGAAGUUUUUUCGUUAAAUAUUUAGUUUAAGGGUUUUUACCCAAAACAAAUUUAUUUGAGGGGUUCUAACAUUAAAAAUCCUACAAAGAAUAGUUUAUGUUCUAACUAGGGUCGGCCCGCCCUACGGGCGGGAUAUGCUUUACUUGUGAUCUAGAUUAUUAUUUUUUGUAUGAUUUUGUGAUUUGUUUUUUAAGUUUGCAUUUGCAAGAAACGUGUAUGAUAUUCGUCUUUUAGAAAGUUCAAAGUGAGAGAUUUAUUUGUGAUAAGAUAUAUUUUGCUUGUUUACAAUAGUUGUUUCUGUCUUCCAAAAAAAUUAACUUUAUGAUACUAUAUGUUAGUUAAAUUUUAUCUACUUAAUUAAAUUAUUUGUUAUAUAAUGUGUGUUGAAUUGAUGAUAGUAUAUAAAUGUCUUUUAUUUGUAAUUCAGUGAAAACAUCAGAAUAGUGAAGUUUUAAAAAAGAAAGAAAGAUGAAUUCAUUUUUUAAAAGAUGAUUUGUUGAUGUUUAUAUAAAAAAUUUAUAUAUGAAAGUUAUGUUAUUAUUAUUUUAUCGAAUUAAGUUAUAUUUUACAUAUGUCUAAUUCAAGACCAGUAAAAUUUAUUAAUUACUGUGUCUAUUCAUUUGCCGAAUAUUAAUUUAUAGACUUUCUACUAUAUAUAUAUUAUUUAUUUUUUCAUUAUUUUGUGUCGAUAUAAUGAAUCUCCAUGUUAUCAGUUAAAUAUUUUUAUUGCCAAACAUUAUCGACUAAAGCAAUAACUUCACUGAUUGUACAAUUUGUUAACAAAAUAAAUUUGAAACUGAAGCGAACAUAUAAUGGAGUACAAACCAAAACCAGUCUCUAAUUCUAUCAAUUGUCAAUACAUAUAGUACAUUUGUAUAAUGGAGAUCUCAUAUUUUCAUAAUGGUUAUGCAAUAUUUACAUGCACUACAAGAAAACAGCGGUAUUCUGACGGACGUUCCGACGGAAAAUGAAUUCCUCGGAAUAUACCGAGGAAUUUCCGAGGCAAUUCCGAGGAAACCCAAAAUUUGGCUUCCUCGGAAUUUCCUCGGAAUAUACCGACGGAAUUCCGAGGAAAAUUCAUUUCGUCGGAAUAUUCCGACGGAAUACCGAGGAAAAUAGUAUUCCUCGGAAAAAACCGAUGAAUUCCGAGGAAAUAUUAUAGACGUUAGAGAGCCGUUGGAGAGCCGUUGGGGGGAUUUUAAAAAUUCCGAGGAAAUUCCGAGGUUUUUAUCAUUUAAGAUUUAUAUUCAGAUAAUGUUUAAAAUAUUUUUGAAAUUUAAUCAGUAAUAUUUUGUAUAUAUUGUAAUGAAAAUAAAACUAUAUGCAUUAUAAAUAUUUUUGGGCCUUUUUCAAUUUUAUUUAUUAUAUUUAUAAUUUUUUUAUAUAAAAAUAUAGAUUUUUUUAAAAAAUUGGACCCCUUAACUAUUAACAUACGGAGAUAUUAACAUACGGAGGACACGGGCUUGGACCCGAAACGGUCACACCGCUUAUCCCCUCCUCAGCCGGCCCUGGAUGUAUAGUAGACUGAUAUUAAUUUUAGAAUUCUUUUCACAUACCAUAAAUUGGAUACUACUUUUCAGAUACACAUUCAAUAAAAAAAUACCCUAACAUUUAGGUUUAUGGUUUAGUGAGUAUUUAAGGGGUGAGUUGGAUUUAUAAACUUUUUGUUUGACCAAAACAAGUUGGAUUUAUAAGCUUCUAUUAAUAAUUCUUAAGCAUAUAUAAAUGUGUUUGAUCAAAAAAAGCAUUUAUAAAUGAUUUAGAAGAGUUAGUUUAGUUUUUUCAAUCGCAAAUUUAAGAUAUUUAUGAAAAUGAUCAUUUUGUGAAAAUAAAUUAAAAAUGAUAUCAAAUUUUUGGUAUUAACUUCUAAAUUUUAGGAGAAUUAUACGGAAAUAGUGGGCAGAAGGUUUACACGUAUUCAUAGACGAUAGACUUCCACAUGAUUAUGAAUAUUGAUGUUUUGAGCAAAAAAAACAAUGAUGUAAAUAGUUUAUUAGAUUUCUCCGUUGUGAUCAUUUCAUUAGGUAGAGCAUGAUUAACUAAUGAUAAUAUGUAUUAAUUUUAUGUUAGUGUAGUGUAUUUAAAUCAUGUUAAUGACUACACGUCACAAUACUUAAUGGUGCAUUUACAUGUACAAACAAAAGUAGUUCAUGUAAGUUUACUUUCAGUCCAGAUAACUAUACCUUUUUAAUACCAAAAAGUAAGGAUUCGUUUUCAUAUAUGUUUUAUUUAUGCUGAAUAUUGAUUUUUCCUAUAAGAUGCUAUGUAGAUGAACAAUGAAUACAAAUACAGUCAUUGUUGAAAAGGCCAUAAAUGUUGGAUGUACCAAAAUGCGAGCCUAAUAAAAUCGGUGGUUGGAUGUCAAUUAAGAACCAUAUAUAGACCUAAUCCAUUUCUUUUCUCCCUUUAUAUAUAUGCACAAAAGAUACUAAAGCCUUGUCUCAUCUCUAAAAGCACAAUUAUAGUUAAGAAUGGUGGUUAACCAGAAGAUAUCCAGUCUCUCAGCCGCUAUGAACGCCAAGAUCAUCGGUUCUGGUGAGAGGUCAAUGGUAUUGGCGCACGGGUUUGGAGGCGACCAGUCGGUUUGGGACAAGAUAAUACCGGUUCUGUCCCAAUCUUUUAAGGUUUUAGUCUUUGACUGGCUUUUCUCUGGAGCCAUCAAAGACCAAACUCUAUACGAUCCUUCAAAGUAUAAUUCCCUCGACCCCUUCUCUGACGAUCUUAUUGCUCUUAUGGAGGAGUUGAAGUUUGGCCCCGUUGUGUUCGUAGGCCAUUCCAUGUCGGGCAUGAUCGGUUGUGCUGCUUCUAUUAAAAGGCCCGAUUUGUUUACAAAUCUUAUCCCUAUUGCUGCUUCACCCAGGUAACCUCAAUCUAACCCUUCUCCUUAAUUUUAAUUAAAAUUGGAAAAAAAAUAUUUGUAGAAGCAAGCAAAGUCGUAAAACCCAGAGACAUGUGUAAUCUUCUCUCUUGGAUGUAAUAUCACUUAGGACUAUGUUAGAUAUGGCUAAAGUAAGAGAGGUAAAUAAUGCGUAUUUAUCCCGUAAAUAAGAUGAAGCAAAUGACUAACAGUUAUAAUUACGUUCUAAAGAGAAAUAUAGCACAUGCAAUCAUAAUUCAAAAAGACGUUAUACCAUCCCAUCGAUUGUACGAAUAUUCCUGAUGAUUAAGUGUUUCAUGAAAGAAGACGAAAAAUGCCUUUAAAAAUGACGAAAAAUAUGGUUUAUGAUAAUGGUUUUGCCGAUAAUUAAUGGAUUUUAUGUGGCUUGUAUGAAGUUGUAACUGUUGCCAAGUGUUGAGCAUGUGGCCAAGAUCAUCUUCUAGCUUGUUAGAUGGAUAUGACAUAUAUGAUCCUGUCUUAUUUCCCUAUAACCUAUAUCUGCAUGCUACUUUGUCAUGUGUGUAUAGUAGAUUUAUUUAAAUAAACCAAUCAAACAUAAGACAGUAGAUAUGCAUAUACAUUGUGGACCAUUCAUCUUCCAAGCAGCUUAUUCUCCGAUAUAUAGAGUUGUUGAAUUGCGAUCAAUUUCUUGUAUUGUAAAUAAUUUUUAACAACAACAUACAGUUUUUUUUCUAUUAGUGCGUGUCAUCUUACAUAGGGCCAAAAAAUAUUUACUAGUUAUACCGAAAAAAUCUUUACCUAGGGGCUAGGGCCAAUGUUUUAGUUCCAAUUUUAUCAAACAGUAUCCGCGAAAGGAUGAAUUAUCAUUUUGACUGAUAAGAUUUAAUUUGUUUAUUAUAGUUAUAGUUGAGAAAGUCGGCCAUAAAUUAAUGCAACAGCUGAGUGUUUGACUGUAUAUGUCGUCUAAUGGAACGUGCUUAUAUAUAAACAACUUUAAUUAAAUGAUCAAAUUUAGUAUAUAAGUCAGUACUUCAUAGACUGAAAUGGAAAUCAUUAGGUUUAUUUUAAUUUCUACCCAAUUAAAAUUUAUAGGUAUAUAAACAGUGAGGAUUACAGAGGAGGGUUUGAAUCAAAAGACAUUGACACGAUCAUCACCAGCAUUAGCUCCAACUACGAGGCUUGGGCGGUUGCUUUCACCUCCGUAGUGGUUGACUCAAGAGACUCUUUGUCCGUCCAAAGGUUCGAGAAAUGCCUUAAAAAGAUGAAGCCCGAGACGGCUCUUGCUUUAGCUAAGAUUGUAUUUGGCAGCGACGAGAGAGAGCUCUUGGACCAAGUGUCAGUGCCUUGCCACGUCAUACAACCAAGAAACGACGUCGUUGUACCUGUCUCCGUCGCUUACUUCAUGCAGGAGAAGAUCAAAGGGGAAUCGACGGUGGACAUUAUUGAGGACGCGAUGGGUCACUUUCCACAAAUGACGUCACAUAUUGAGCUGCUUGGCGUCAUGAAGCGCCUCCUCCAGCUUUGAAGGAUGAAUAUAAUAAAUGAUUUGCGUCGAUAUUCUUCUUGUCUAUAAUAUUGUGUUACUAAGAUUAUGAAGUGUGUCCCUUAGUAGUAGUAUCUCUUUAUGUUUGUGUAAUGUGAGUGUGUAUUUAUUAGUACAACAAAGUAAUUUCCAGUAUAAGUUAAAAGAUAAAGAGAUUAUCAUAGUGAGAGUUCUAAUGACCAGUUGCAAAUACCAACCCAAAAUCCAAACUAAGAACGCAAAAUAAAUUAAAAAUAUUUUCAAAAGUUAUGCAAUUAACUAGAUUUUUUCGUUAAUUGAGAAGUCAAAAGAGUACAACUCUUAUCACCAUACUUUUUUCGUUUUUAUACCAACUUUUCCCGGUUGGUGGGGGAGAUCGACUCCACACACAGCUAAACUUUUGAAAUAUAAACUUUUGAAGUAUCAGAUAUGUAAAGUAGAUCAUUGCUGUUAUGUGCUUCACAAACUAAAACAUUGAGUACACAAUUUAUAUCGUGUUAUUUUUCUUCAUAUCCAUUACUUAUCUGCAUAUUUUAAACUCUCGAAAAUUACAAGUCGCUCCCGUCUCUAUUUUGACCCUACGUAGAUGUAUACAUGGCCGGCUUAACAUUGUUAUGGUUCAUAAGGCAAAAAAUUGUUUUUAUCAUUUAAGAUUUAUAUUCAGAUAAUGUUUAAAAUAUUUUUGAAAUUUAAUCAGUAAUAUUUUGUAUAUAUUGUAAUGAAAAUAAAACUAUAUGCAUUAUAAAUAUUUUUGGGCCUUUUUCAAUUUUAUUUAUUAUAUUUAUAAUUUUUUUAUAUAAAAAUAUAGAUUUUUUUAAAAAAUUGGACCCCUUAACUAUUAACAUACGGAGAUAUUAACAUACGGAGGACACGGGCUUGGACCCGAAACGGUCACACCGCUUAUCCCCUCCUCAGCCGGCCCUGGAUGUAUAGUAGACUGAUAUUAAUUUUAGAAUUCUUUUCACAUACCAUAAAUUGGAUACUACUUUUCAGAUACACAUUCAAUAAAAAAAUACCCUAACAUUUAGGUUUAUGGUUUAGUGAGUAUUUAAGGGGUGAGUUGGAUUUAUAAACUUUUUGUUUGACCAAAACAAGUUGGAUUUAUAAGCUUCUAUUAAUAAUUCUUAAGCAUAUAUAAAUGUGUUUGAUCAAAAAAAGCAUUUAUAAAUGAUUUAGAAGAGUUAGUUUAGUUUUUUCAAUCGCAAAUUUAAGAUAUUUAUGAAAAUGAUCAUUUUGUGAAAAUAAAUUAAAAAUGAUAUCAAAUUUUUGGUAUUAACUUCUAAAUUUUAGGAGAAUUAUACGGAAAUAGUGGGCAGAAGGUUUACACGUAUUCAUAGACGAUAGACUUCCACAUGAUUAUGAAUAUUGAUGUUUUGAGCAAAAAAAACAAUGAUGUAAAUAGUUUAUUAGAUUUCUCCGUUGUGAUCAUUUCAUUAGGUAGAGCAUGAUUAACUAAUGAUAAUAUGUAUUAAUUUUAUGUUAGUGUAGUGUAUUUAAAUCAUGUUAAUGACUACACGUCACAAUACUUAAUGGUGCAUUUACAUGUACAAACAAAAGUAGUUCAUGUAAGUUUACUUUCAGUCCAGAUAACUAUACCUUUUUAAUACCAAAAAGUAAGGAUUCGUUUUCAUAUAUGUUUUAUUUAUGCUGAAUAUUGAUUUUUCCUAUAAGAUGCUAUGUAGAUGAACAAUGAAUACAAAUACAGUCAUUGUUGAAAAGGCCAUAAAUGUUGGAUGUACCAAAAUGCGAGCCUAAUAAAAUCGGUGGUUGGAUGUCAAUUAAGAACCAUAUAUAGACCUAAUCCAUUUCUUUUCUCCCUUUAUAUAUAUGCACAAAAGAUACUAAAGCCUUGUCUCAUCUCUAAAAGCACAAUUAUAGUUAAGAAUGGUGGUUAACCAGAAGAUAUCCAGUCUCUCAGCCGCUAUGAACGCCAAGAUCAUCGGUUCUGGUGAGAGGUCAAUGGUAUUGGCGCACGGGUUUGGAGGCGACCAGUCGGUUUGGGACAAGAUAAUACCGGUUCUGUCCCAAUCUUUUAAGGUUUUAGUCUUUGACUGGCUUUUCUCUGGAGCCAUCAAAGACCAAACUCUAUACGAUCCUUCAAAGUAUAAUUCCCUCGACCCCUUCUCUGACGAUCUUAUUGCUCUUAUGGAGGAGUUGAAGUUUGGCCCCGUUGUGUUCGUAGGCCAUUCCAUGUCGGGCAUGAUCGGUUGUGCUGCUUCUAUUAAAAGGCCCGAUUUGUUUACAAAUCUUAUCCCUAUUGCUGCUUCACCCAGGUAACCUCAAUCUAACCCUUCUCCUUAAUUUUAAUUAAAAUUGGAAAAAAAAUAUUUGUAGAAGCAAGCAAAGUCGUAAAACCCAGAGACAUGUGUAAUCUUCUCUCUUGGAUGUAAUAUCACUUAGGACUAUGUUAGAUAUGGCUAAAGUAAGAGAGGUAAAUAAUGCGUAUUUAUCCCGUAAAUAAGAUGAAGCAAAUGACUAACAGUUAUAAUUACGUUCUAAAGAGAAAUAUAGCACAUGCAAUCAUAAUUCAAAAAGACGUUAUACCAUCCCAUCGAUUGUACGAAUAUUCCUGAUGAUUAAGUGUUUCAUGAAAGAAGACGAAAAAUGCCUUUAAAAAUGACGAAAAAUAUGGUUUAUGAUAAUGGUUUUGCCGAUAAUUAAUGGAUUUUAUGUGGCUUGUAUGAAGUUGUAACUGUUGCCAAGUGUUGAGCAUGUGGCCAAGAUCAUCUUCUAGCUUGUUAGAUGGAUAUGACAUAUAUGAUCCUGUCUUAUUUCCCUAUAACCUAUAUCUGCAUGCUACUUUGUCAUGUGUGUAUAGUAGAUUUAUUUAAAUAAACCAAUCAAACAUAAGACAGUAGAUAUGCAUAUACAUUGUGGACCAUUCAUCUUCCAAGCAGCUUAUUCUCCGAUAUAUAGAGUUGUUGAAUUGCGAUCAAUUUCUUGUAUUGUAAAUAAUUUUUAACAACAACAUACAGUUUUUUUUCUAUUAGUGCGUGUCAUCUUACAUAGGGCCAAAAAAUAUUUACUAGUUAUACCGAAAAAAUCUUUACCUAGGGGCUAGGGCCAAUGUUUUAGUUCCAAUUUUAUCAAACAGUAUCCGCGAAAGGAUGAAUUAUCAUUUUGACUGAUAAGAUUUAAUUUGUUUAUUAUAGUUAUAGUUGAGAAAGUCGGCCAUAAAUUAAUGCAACAGCUGAGUGUUUGACUGUAUAUGUCGUCUAAUGGAACGUGCUUAUAUAUAAACAACUUUAAUUAAAUGAUCAAAUUUAGUAUAUAAGUCAGUACUUCAUAGACUGAAAUGGAAAUCAUUAGGUUUAUUUUAAUUUCUACCCAAUUAAAAUUUAUAGGUAUAUAAACAGUGAGGAUUACAGAGGAGGGUUUGAAUCAAAAGACAUUGACACGAUCAUCACCAGCAUUAGCUCCAACUACGAGGCUUGGGCGGUUGCUUUCACCUCCGUAGUGGUUGACUCAAGAGACUCUUUGUCCGUCCAAAGGUUCGAGAAAUGCCUUAAAAAGAUGAAGCCCGAGACGGCUCUUGCUUUAGCUAAGAUUGUAUUUGGCAGCGACGAGAGAGAGCUCUUGGACCAAGUGUCAGUGCCUUGCCACGUCAUACAACCAAGAAACGACGUCGUUGUACCUGUCUCCGUCGCUUACUUCAUGCAGGAGAAGAUCAAAGGGGAAUCGACGGUGGACAUUAUUGAGGACGCGAUGGGUCACUUUCCACAAAUGACGUCACAUAUUGAGCUGCUUGGCGUCAUGAAGCGCCUCCUCCAGCUUUGAAGGAUG